rnacentral:rRNA from 1 species
GACGAACGCUGGCGGCGUGCCUAAUACAUGCAAGUCGAGCGAUGAAGCUUGGUGCUUGCACCAAUUUGAAGAGCAGCGCACGGGUGUGUAACGCGUGGGGAAUCUGCCUUUGAGCGGGGGACAACAUUUGGAAACGAAUGCUAAUACCGCAUAACAACUUUAAACAUAAGUUUUAAGUUUGAAAGAUGCAAUUGCAUCACUCAAAGAUGAUCCCGCGUUGUAUUAGCUAGUUGGUGAGGUAAAGGCUCACCAAGGCGAUGAUACAUAGCCGAACUGAGAGGGUGGUCGGCCAGAUUGGGACGGAGACACGGCCCAAACUCCCACGGGAGGCAGCCGUAGGGCAACUUCGGCCAUGGGUGGAAGUCUGACCGAGCAACGCCGCGGGAGUGUAGAAGGUUGUCGGAUCGGGAAACUCGGUUGGUAGAGAAGAACGUUGGUGAGAGUGGGAAGCACAUCAAGUGACGGUAACUACUCAGGAAGGAACGGCUAACUACGUG